AAAUCAUUAAAGAAAGUUCGGUCUGUUUUUCUGUCUCUCAGCCAGAGGGGGCAAGGUAGAGAAAAUCAAAAAUCAAAAUCCCAAAACCCUAAUUCGAAGAUUAUGAUUAUGAAGAUGAAGAAGAUGAAGAUGAAGAAGCAGAGGACUGAAGAUGAAGUUAGAAUGGAUGAUGAGUUAAAUCUCUGACGAGAUUAAGCUGCACAAGUAAGUAUUUAUACAAUUACAUCAAUCAAAAUCAACGAUUUCCCAAAUCACACUUUACUAAUUAUUCCCAGAAAAAUCCGAUCUUAGUGUUUUAUAUAACUUAUUAUGGUACUGAGAAACAACAACUCUGCCCAGAAACUUGUUUCAUGCCAGAGAUAUUGAAGAUGACAGUACUGAUAAUUACAAUGUUGAUUUGAGUAACACAAUCACACAGGAAAACAAAGGGGAAUUUGUUGGAUAUUGCAAUGGUUUAAUUUGUUUUAAACAGGUUAUUAAUAAAAUUGGUUGCCUCAUAGAUGUUUGGAAUUAUGCGUCAAAGGAGUUUUUACGCAUAGUCCCUCCUGUUAUAGGAGGAGGUUAUUAUUAUAAGAUCAGGUCUUCUGGAUUCUAUUAACAAUGAGUAUAAAUUGGUGAUCAUUGUUUAUAUGUUGGAAACUAAGUCUCCUAAGUGUUUGGUGUAUACUUUCGGAAUCAAUCUUCUUGGAACGAAGUCAGGUCUCCAGAUUCCGGAUUAUUACUCACAUCUAUUUAUGGAGCCACAGGAGGAGGAGGAGCUUUGUUUUGGCGGACCAGUGAUCCACAGCUCAUUCUCUUGUUCGAUCUCCAUGAAGACAAGUUGCAAUACAUCCAAUCCCCAGUUGAAUCCAAUGCAGAUACUCGAUUUUUUAAGCAUAAAGGAUUUUUCGUUGUUGCCAUUCUACAAAAGAAAUCACUACCAGUAGAAGGAAUUAAUACAAAGGCGGCGCAUACUUUGGAAAAGGUGCACUUGAAAAUAUUGAAGGCUUACAAAGAUGAACAAGUUUGGGACACGGAGACCAUAGAUGUUUCAAUGUAUUCAAUCCCUUUCAGUGUCAAUUUCCGCUUUGUGAGCUUCUCGGACCAAAUUUUACUCUACUGGGUGGAAGCCAAAAGUUUUCAGUUUUUCAAUCUGCACAGGAAGUGUCUUAAGGUGGUUAGGAACCUAGCUUCAUGCAUGUCUAAGAGGAGAUUACCAGUAGCUGUUGGCGCCAAAGAUUACUGGCUGAAUUGUGAGGUUGAAAACAUCUGCUCUUUGAAAACCUUGUUGCCUGUACGAGCUCAGAAAUCUGAUUGUGCUGCUUUAAGUUCGAUGAUGGAAAGCUUCCAGAAUAUGUGGACUCUGCAACAACCAAACACAACAGUUGGAGGAUUUUUCUGUUCAUAUUACCAAUCUAAAACCAGCGAAUAUUACUUCUUCGAUGAUUAGGUUUCACAGUCGGUGCAUUUUAUUUGUUUAGUGGUCUGGUUUACUGUUUUAUUAAAUUAUCGAUGCCAAAAGCUUCGGUUAUCUGCUGAACACCGGGACCUACUGACAGAACAUCUUUUGCCCAUAAACUGGAGUUUUGAAAGCCGUGUUCUUUUACUUCGUCUCUCUGAAAUCUCUUCCUGCUGAGCCAAUUGGAUCUUAACGAUUUGAAACCAGUGAAUAGCUGUAUGAUGCCCGGAUAUCAGUGUUCGCAUCCAAGCUUUAGAAGAAACAUGAGGAAUCUAAAGUGUUUAUGGAUCCGUUGCACAUGGUUUUGAAUUCCUCAAGAAUUCAACCAGCUCAAGGGCCACGAUUCUUGUCUCCGCCUAAGCGUUUCCGCCAUCUUCUUGAGUUCUCAGUAGAUGAGCUCAAUCACCUUCAAUUCAUCAUGGCUGCAUCCAUCCUGCGUCCUGAGACAUUUGGUAUUACAAUUCCUGGAUUUCCAGCCAAAGGAAGGAGUUAAUAGUGUAACCAGUAAGAAACCAACAAACUUCUCCUCUGCGUCUAUAAAUGAUGCAUCAGUUAUAAGUAAUCUGACUAGAAAGGUGGAGGAUUGCUGUAGUAUGUUGCCUUCUGGAUUACGAAUCAACCCAGUACAGUGCGAAAAGGAUGAUGACAUAAACUACCACAUGGACUUGAUGGCUGGACUCGCUAUCGUGCGAAGAAUUACAGCAUUCCCGAAGCUGACAAGUUGAAGGCUAAGCUUAUUGCUGUGAGUAUCAUACCUGCAAUUGCAACCUCCACAGCAAUGGCAACUGGUCUCAUGUGCCUGGAACUAUACAAGGUGAUAGAUGGAACACAUAAGGUUGAGGAUUACAGGAACAUUUAUGCAAACUUGGCGCUUAUAUUUUAAAGUUUUUCAAGCACAGAGUGGUUGAAGAACAAGGGUCUGAAUGCGUCUAGCUUAUCGUGUGAAACAAGCUUGCUCUUCAGAGUCUAUUUCCCAGGCACAAGGACAGGAUCAAGCACAGAGUGGUUGAACGUCUAGCUUAUCCUGUGAAGCCAGCUUGCUCUUCAGAGUCUAUUUCCCAGGCACAAGGACAGGAUGGAUAUACAGUUUGAGUUUCGGGCCUCAUAUAUUCAUCGCAUCAUGGGGGCAUCCAUUUUUGGACUUCAGUCUCAACAAUCUCCUUCUUCUUACAAUCUGGAGAUCAUUGAGUCAAGUUUCAUCAAUUCAGUAUGCAGCAGUAUUGCCAACCAUCUUAUUCAAGAUGGAUAGUUACAGUAUGUACCAGUAUUAUGAUCUCUAUCAUGUUUAUGAUUUAAAUGAUACCUUCAAAAAUAUCCAGAUUCACAAACCGAUUCAACACCUUGUAGAAGACCGAGUCUUUUCAAAUUUCAAAAUUCUAAACUUUCCCUCUUUGAAAGUCCGUAACAGUUGGACUACUAGUCUCAAGACGAAGUUCACUCUAUUAACAAUCAAUCCUUGGUUAAACAAAAAUUAUUCUGUGUUUAUAAGAAUAAUCUCUUCAGAUUAUUUAGGGAAAGAAAAUUAUCCGAUAAUACUUACUAUCCUGCUUAAUAGUAGUACUUAUACUCAUAAAGGAUUUUUCUGUAUUCCAUCGCCAAACUCCAUAGCCCAAAACCAAGAGAAAAUGGUGUCUUCUUCUUCCAAUAACCAGAUCACAGCAAUCACUAGAAAGAUGCACAAUACUCAGAUUAGAGAUAUCGCUGCUAGAAACUUUAGGAAAACUGUAGGUUCUAAAUCUGCUAUUUCCAAAGUGAAGGAUUAAUGGAGCACAACUUUAAUUGGAAAAGUUUUUUCCAAAGAUCUAGUUGAAACAUAUACAGUUAGAAAAUGGGUCAUCAUUCUUUGGAACAGAUUUAGGGUCAAGGAUGUUCGUGCCAUCGAUAUGAAUCUGUUUUUAUUUAAGUUCUUCACUGAGGAUGCAAUGAAUCAUAUUCUCACAAAGGGGCCCUCGGAUGUUAACAAAAGCCACCUAAACCUUCAAAAAUAUGAUCAUGCUGGUCCUAUCAAAGACUGGGUCUUCAAACACCAGGAGUGGGAUAUAUCCAGUUCAAGAAUCUUUUACCAGAACAUCAUUCUUUGGAAGUUUUUAGUGAAUCUAUUGAAGAGUUGGGAAUCAAAAUUUCCACAGAUCCUGAAGACUGUAAGCCAACUUAUGGAUCUCAGAUUAAUGCAAGAAUCAGAAUUGAUCUGAGUAAGCCUAUGCAUAGAGGAGGAUGGUGGAACACUGAUGCUUGUGGAGUUAAAUGGAUCUGAUUUCACUGGGAAAGACAACCACAUAAUCUCUGCCCAAACUGCUAUGUGAUUGAUCAUGAUGAUGAAGAAUUCCCUAACACUGCUCAUGACUUGAUGUUAAGAGGUUUUACAAAUGAACAAUACAUCAAUUAUUUUCAUGAUCUGGAGGCUGCCUUUGAAGUUGAAAUCGUUGAGGACUUCGAUACUCUGCUGGUAAGAAUUUGUGAAGCUAGCCGUAAGAGAGCUGAAGAGGAAGCAAAGGAGGAUAAUACCACUGAAUAAAAGGAAGCUAGAAAAAAUAAAAGGUCUAGAACUGAUAACUCUUCCGAAGCUAUCAUGGAACAUAAUACUGGUGAUACUCAAUCUGCUAAUAAAAACAAUGAAAUGGAGCUCGAUCUCAUAGAGGAAGGAGAAGCAGGAGCAGGAGAGUACCCCCGUGAGAUGAAUGAGGUUCAAAAUCAUCUGGUGCGCACAAGGGUUCCAGAUGCAUCUAUUUAGAAGCUGCGUGGAGUCCAGAGCAUUUUGAAUGUAAAGGUCUAUGGAAAGCUGUCAAGUGGGAUGAAGAGAUGCAAUUAGUGAAAGUUUACUUUGAGCUGGAUUCAAAAAUCAUAGCAGAUGCAGUUAACAAAGACAGUACGAACGUAGAUUGGAGGAUUCAAAAUUUUCUCUUGGAUAUUAGAACAGUUUUCUCUAAGAACAAUUCUUGGAAAUGCAGUUAUGUACCCAAAUAAAAAAAUAAGGUAGCAGAGAUAUUAGCUAAGUUUGCUAGAGUUUCUUUGAUUAGCGGUGUUUGGUUAACAACUAUCCAUGAAUGUAUUCUUAGUCAAAUUCAGGAGGAUGCAA